rnacentral:rRNA from 1 species
UACGGGGGGAGCAAGCGUUGUUCGGAUUUACUGGGCGUAAAGGGCGCGUAGGCGGCCACUGCAAGUCAGUUGUGAAAUCUCCGGGCUUAACUCGGAAAGGUCAACUGAUACUGCAGGGCUAGAGUACAGAAGGGGCAACUGGAAUUCUCGGUGUAGCGGUGAAAUGCGUAGAUAUCGAGAGGAACACCUGCGGCGAAGGCGGGUUGCUGGGCUGAUACUGACGCUGAGGCGCGAAAGCUAGGGGAGCGAACGGG